rnacentral:rRNA from 1 species
AUUGAACGCUGGCGGCAGGCCUAACACAUGCAAGUCGAACGGUAACAGGAAACAGCUUGCUGUUUCGCUGACGAGUGGCGGACGGGUGAGUAAUGUCUGGGAAACUGCCUGAUGGAGGGGGAUAACUACUGGAAACGGUAGCUAAUACCGCAUAACGUCGCAAGACCAAAGAGGGGGACCCUCGGGCCUCUUGCCAUCGGAAGUGCCCAGAUGGGAUUAGCUUGUUGGUGGGGUAACGGCUCACCAAGGCGACGAUCCCUAGCUGGUCUGAGAGGAUGACCAGCCACACUGGAACUGAGACACGGUCCAGACUCCUACGGGAGGCAGCAGUGGGGAAUAUUGCACAGUGGGCGCAAGCCUGAUGCAGCCAUGCCGCGUGUAUGAAGAAGGCCUUCGGGUUGUAAAGUACUUUCAGCGGGGAGGAAGGGAGUAAAGUUAAUACCUUUGCUCAUUGACGUUACCCGCAGAAGAAGCACCGGCUAACUCCGUG